AGAAGGGCGUGUGUGAGGAUGUGCUCAUGUGAGCGCACAGAAGUGUCUCUAGGCUCCAAGCUGAUGGAGUGGAUACAGCAGAGGUUUGCCCUAUUCCUAUCGGAGGGGAGCAAGGAGCAAGGUAUCAGCGUCUGGAGGUCAGGAACCAAGUUGCCUCGAGCACUCAGGAGAGCACAGUGAUGUAACACUGAUCCACUGCCUCUGUUUCUGAGCACAGCUGGCAGCCCCUUCUGCCACAAGGGUAGGAGGAGAAACUAAAGACUUACUGGCAUCCCUGAUUUUACAACCUCCUUACCACUACCGGGCUGUGAAACUUGGAACCUGCUGCUUUGAGGCUGCAGGCUUGGGACCCACGUGUGGGGCCUCUCCCCAGACCUCGGUGGUCCAGACCCAACACUACUCAAAAGCCACUUUCACACAUUCGUUCCUGAGCUCGCGCAGGGUCCGCCCUGGAGGAGCCCGCCGGAGGAGUCUUUCAGUUCGGUCGGUCCCAGUGGGAGGCCGGGAGAGGGGACGCCGGAG
ensembl:lncRNA